AGGGCGUUAGUCCAAGACAAGACCUCUGAAUUCGACUCAGAAGAUUGUGGUUUAAUUCCACAACCCCCUU
rnacentral:tRNA from 1 species